CCUACGGGCGGCAGCAGUGAGGAAUAUUGGUCAAUGGGCGCGAGACUGAACCAGCCAAGUAGCGUGAAGGAUGACUGCCCUACGGGUUGUAAACUUCUUUUAUAAAGGAAUAAAGUGAGGCACGUGUGCCUUUUUGUAUGUACUUUAUGAAUAAGGAUCGGCUAACUCCGUGCCAGCAGCCGCGGUAAUACGGAGGAUCCGAGCGUUAUCCGGAUUUAUUGGGUUUAAAGGGGGCGUAGAUGGGUUGUUAAGUCAGUUGUGAAAGUUUGCGGCUCAACCGUAAAAUUGCAAUUGAUACUGGCAGUCUUGAGUACAGUUGAGGUAGGCGGAAUUCGUGGUGGAGCGGUGAAAUGCUUAGAUAUCACGAAGAACUCCGAUUGCGAAGGCAGCUUACUAAACUGCCACUGACAUUGAUGCUCGAAAGUGUGGGUAUCAAACAGGAGUAGAUACCCCUGUAGUC
rnacentral:rRNA from 1 species